rnacentral:rRNA from 1 species
AGGCUUAACACAUGCAAGUCGAGGGGCAGCAUGGUCUUAGCUUGCUAAGGCCGAUGGCGACCGGCGCACGGGUGAGUAACACGUAUCCAACCUGCCGUCUACUCUUGGACAGCCUUCUGAAAGGAAGAUUAAUACAAGAUGGCAUCAUGAGUCCGCAUGUUCACAUGAUUAAAGGUAUUCCGGUAGACGAUGGGGAUGCGUUCCAUUAGAUAGUAGGCGGGGUAACGGCCCACCUAGUCUUCGAUGGAUAGGGGUUCUGAGAGGAAGGUCCCCCACAUUGGAACUGAGACACGGUCCAAACUCCUACGGGAGGCAGCAGUGAGGAAUAUUGGUCAAUGGGCGAGAGCCUGAACCAGCCAAGUAGCGUGAAGGAUGACUGCCCUAUGGGUUGUAAACUUCUUUUAUAAAGGAAUAAAGUCGGGUAUGUAUACCCGUUUGCAUGUACUUUAUGAAUAAGGAUCGGCUAACUCCGUGCCAGCAGCCGCGGUAAUACGGAGGAUCCGAGCGUUAUCCGGAUUUAUUGGGUUUAAAGGGAGCGUAGAUGGAUGUUUAAGUCAGUUGUGAAAGUUUGCGGCUCAACCGUAAAAUUGCAGUUGAUACUGGAUAUCUUGAGUGCAGUUGAGGCAGGCGGAAUUCGUGGUGUAGCGGUGAAAUGCUUAGAUAUCACGAAGAACUCCGAUUGCGAAGGCAGCCUGCUAAGCUGCAACUGACAUUGAGGCUCGAAAGUGUGGGUAUC